GACGAACGCUGGCGGCGUGCUUAACACAUGCAAGUCGAACGGAAAGGCCCUGCUUUUGUGGGGUGCUCGAGUGGCGAACGGGUGAGUAACACGUGAGUAACCUGCCCUUGACUUUGGGAUAACUUCAGGAAACUGGGGCUAAUACCGGAUAGGAGCUCCUGCUGCAUGGUGGGGGUUGGAAAGUUUCGGCGGUUGGGGAUGGGCUCGCGGCUUAUCAGCUUGUUGGUGGGGUAGUGGCUUACCAAGGCUUUGACGGGUAGCCGGCCUGAGAGGGUGACCGGCGCUGCGGGGAACGAGAGAAGGCCCAGGCGCCGACGGGAGGGAGAAGGGGGGAAUAGGGAACAAGGGGCGGAAGGCGGGUGCGGAACGGCCGCGGGGGGGAGAAAGGGGUGAUGGUUGAAGAACGGAUGAGCACAGGACGAGGCUGUGUGUGACGGUAGUGGGUAAAGAAGCACCGGCUAACGACGUG
rnacentral:rRNA from 1 species